rnacentral:lncRNA from 1 species
AUGGCCACUCCCCUGCUCCCCACACCUGUGCUCCAAGGCCCCCCAGGGACCUGGCACGUCCGUCUCUUUGGGGGCACUGGUUUGAGCCUGCCCCUACCAGAGGGCACAGAGCCUCCGGGACCCUGGUGGAGGGACAAACAGGGCCGAGCAGAGCUCCAUGUGGACGCUGGGCGCUGCCCUCAGAGCACCUGUGGGUGUCUGUGCAGAAGGGCCCGGGAGGAGGUAAGGCGAAUGGAGAGACUUUUGUUCUUAUUUUCUACGUGUGUUUCUGCAUUUUCUGUUGAUUUUUCUGUGGUUAUCACAUAUUACUCGUGUCUACAAAGGAAACAAUACAACUCUAAUAGAAAGAGGGGAUGCUACAGAGCCUAUGGGGACACAGCCAAGAGGCCAAGCACUCAGAGAAGGACUCCAGGUUUGAAGGCAGAUGCUGGUGGGGACCCGGCCAGGUGGCUGGGCGGGAAAAGGUGAGAUGGGGCAGGAUUGGGCCUGGGAAGGCUGAGGCAGGCAGGGAUGAUGCCAGCAGAGGAGAAUCCCAAGCAGGCCCCGCGGCUGCGGCUGGAGAGCUCCAGGGGCGGAGAGGAGGUGGGAGGCAGCAGUCAGGUUGGGAGGACCCUGGCAAGCAAGCCCAGAGAGGAGGGCUGGGAGGGCCGGGCACUAGAAGUGCGAAGUCACUGCUGCCUCCUGGGGCUGCUUCAGAGGAUGGGUGGGGUCACGUGUGGGGAGACCAGGGAGACUGGAGACUACGCUGUUUGGUCCAGGCAUAGGAGAUGAGCCCUGGCCGGGAAGGGACAGUGUGGAUGGGCCAGGCGGAAUCAGAGGGUUUCAGAGAAAGCCGUCGAGCCAGUGCCAUGAGUUUCGUGCACACGAGGAGGGAGCAGGCUGGGGGGGGGUGUUGCUGGUGUGAGGGCUCUCUGGUUGCAGGCAGCGGUCCGGUUGGGUGGGGGCACAGCUGCCAGGAGGAAAGCGCCCAGGGCCUGCAGGUGGGGCUCAGGAUGCUGGCCCUGAAGAAAUAGAAACAGGGUUUUCACCUGGGAGGGAGGAGGAGCCUGGGAACUGGGGAGGAAGAGGCUCUGCUGGGCCGCGUCCUGGGAACAGGGAGACCUGGGAACAGGGAGACCUGGGGACAGAUCUGGCCCUCGCACGCCCCUCCUGUCUCGCGUCCGUCCCUCCGUGCAGCCGGGGCAGGACCCUGCAGGGGCCUUGCGGGCCGGAGGUGCCGGCUUCCUCCUCCAUCCCGUCCCCCCCGCGGUGAAUCCCUUUAUUCAAAUCUCCCCCCUUCCCGCUGCCCCGCCGGACUCGGGCUGGGGUCGUAGCCCGGCGGGCAGCGGUGUUCACCUUCCGCAUAAACCUGGGCUUCCUCGCGGGGCAGCCCCCGGGCCUUAUGCUGGGUCGCAGCCUCGGGCGGUUCCCUCGGGGCGGGACGUGUC